AUUGAACGCUGGCGGCAUGCCUUACACAUGCAAGUCGAACGGUAACAGGUCUUCGGAUGCUGACGAGUGGCGAACGGGUGAGUAAUACAUCGGAACGUGCCCGAUCGUGGGGGAUAACGAGGCGAAAGCUUUGCUAAUACCGCAUACGAUCUACGGAUGAAAGCGGGGGAUCUUCGGACCCCGCGCGGACGGAGCGGCCGAUGGCAGAUUAGGUAGUUGGUGGGAUAAAAGCUUACCAAGCCGACGAUCUGUAGCUGGUCUGAGAGGAUGAUCAGCCACACUGGGACUGAGACACGGCCCAGACUCCUACGGGAGGCAGCAGUGGGGAAUUUUGGACAAUGGGCGAAAGCCUGAUCCAGCCAUGCCGCGUGCAGGAUGAAGGCCUUUGGGUUGUAAACUGCUUUUGUACGGAACGAAAAGCCUCUUUCUAAUAAAGAGGGGUCAUGACGGUACCGUAAGAAUAAGCACCGGCUAACUACGUG
rnacentral:rRNA from 1 species